rnacentral:rRNA from 1 species
GAGAUGUUGGGUUAAGUCCCGCAACGAGCGCAACCCUUGAUUUUAGUUGCCAGCAUUCAGGUGGGCCCUUUAAGGGGGCUGCCGGUGACAAACCGGAGGAAGGUGGGGAAGACGUCAAAUCAUCCUGCCCCUUAUGGCCUGGGGUACCCCCGUGGUUCAAUGGACAGAACAAAGGGCAGCGAAACCGCGAGGUUAAGCCAAUCCCACAAAUCUGUUUUCAGUUCGGAUUGCAGUUUGCAACUUGGCUGCGUGAAGCUGGAAUCGCUAGUAAUCGCGGAUCAGCAUGCCGCGGUGAAUACGUUUCCGGGCCUUGUACA